rnacentral:rRNA from 1 species
GUAACGGGUAACGAAGAAUUAGGGUUCGAUUUCGGAGAGGGAGCAUGAGAAACGGCUACCACAUCUAAGGAAGGCAGCAGGCGCGUAAAUUACCCAAUCCUGACUCAGGGAGGUAGUGACAAGAAAUAGCAAACCGGGAACCUCAUGGUUUCACGGUAUUGCAAUGAGAACAAUUUAAAACCCUUAGCGAGAAUCAAGUGGAGGACAAGUCUGGUGCCAGCACCCGCGGUAAUUCCAGCUCCACUAGCGUAUAUUAAAGUUGUUGCAGUUAAAAAGCUCGUAGUUGAACCUCUGUCUGGGGCUAGUUUUGGCUUUGGUCAGGCUAGUUCUAGGCAUCCGCCUACAAGACUUAGAGGGCAUUCAGUUGUUCACUAGGAGGAGUAGGCAUUUUACUUUGAAAAAAUUAGAGUGUUUAAGGCAGGCAAUCGCCCGCAUAUAUUAGCAUGGAAUAAUAGAAUAGGACACUUUUCCAUUUCGUUGGUUAUUGGAAUCGUGUAAUGAUUAAUAGGGACAGUUGUGGGCAUUUGUAUUUAAUUGUCAGAGGUGAAAUUCUUGGAUUUAUUAAAGACAAACUAACGCGAAAGCAUUUGCCAAGGAUGUUUUCAUUAAUCAAGAACGAAAGUUAGGGGAUCAAAGACGAUCAGAUACCGUCCUAGUCUUAACUAUAAACUAUUCCGACUCAAUGUUUGACUGGCUUAUAUAACCAGUUGAGCGUUGUAUGAGAAAUCAAAGUCUUUAGGUUCUGGGGGGAGUAUGGUUGCAAAGCUGAAACUUAAAGGAAUUGACGGAAGAGCACAACCAGGAGUGGAUUCUGCGGCUUAAUUUGACUCAACACGGGGAAACUUACCAGGUUAAAACAAUAGUGGGAUUGACAGUUUGAGAGCGCUUUCUUGAUUGGUUGGGUGGUGGUGCAUGGCCGUUCUUAGUUGGUGGAGUGAUUUGUCUGCUUAAUUGCGUUAACGAACGAGACCUUAACCUGCUUACUAGACUGGCGAUCAUCAAUCGUUAGCUCUUCUUAGAGGGACUUUGGUUGUUUUAACUCCAAGGAAGUUUGAGGCAAUAACAGGUCUGUGAUGCCCUUAGAUAUCCUGGGCCGCACGCGUCAUACAAUGACUAGUUCAGAAAGUUUUCUCCUGACCCGAAAGGGGAUGGGUAAUCUUGAUAAUACUAGUCGUGUUAGGGAUCGAUCUUUGCAAUUAUAGAUCUUGAACGAGGAAUUCCUAGUAAGUGCGGUUCAUCAGACCGUACUGAUUACGUCCCUGCUCUUUGUACACACCGCCCGUCGCUUCUACCGAGUGGGUGGUCCGGUGAGAUAAUUGAACUUCGCAGGUAACUGAGAGGAAAGAUUAUCAAACCUGUCC